rnacentral:lncRNA from 1 species
UUGUGGCUGAGGGGACCUUUGAGGUAGUGGAUCCUUACUGUCGUGAAGUAGGAUGGCUAGUUUCAAAACCUCUCAAGCCAAGCUGAAGCCCAUGCGGUGAUCCCUGACGACCUUGAUCAAAAACAUGACCUUUGCUCUCUUUGAACAGGCCGUUCCGCCACACCAAGGCCACUAAAAGGUGAACUUGCAUCCAGAAUCAGAGAGGGU